GACGAACCGUGCAAACGUUGUUCGGAAUCACUGGGCUUAAAGGGCGCGUAGGCGGGCAAGCAAGUCCGGGGUGAAAUCUUUCGGCUCAACCGGAAAAGUGCCUUGGAUACUGCUUGUCUUGAGGGAGGUAGGGGCAUGUGGAACUUCCGGUGGAGCGGUGAAAUGCGUUGAUAUCGGAAGGAACGCCGGUGGCGAAAGCGACGUGCUGGACCUCUUCUGACGCUGAGGCGCGAAAGCUAGGGGAGCAAACGGG
rnacentral:rRNA from 1 species